rnacentral:rRNA from 1 species
GGACGAACGCUGGCGGCGUGCCUAAUACAUGCAAGUUGAGCGAUGAAGAUUGGUGCUUGCACCAAUUUGAAGAGCAGCGAACGGGUGAGUAACGCGUGGGGAAUCUGCCUUUGAGCGGGGGACAACAUUUGGAAACGAAUGCUAAUACCGCAUAACAACUUUAAACAUAAGUUUUAAGUUUAAAAGAUGCAAUUGCAUCACUCAAAGAUGAUCCCGCGUUGUAUUAGCUAGUUGGUGAGGUAAAGGCUCACCAAGGCGAUGAUACAUAGCCGACCUGAGAGGGUGAUCGGCCACAUUGGGACUGAGACACGGCCCAAACUCCUACGGGAGGCAGCAGUAGGGAAUCUUCGGCAAUGGACGAAAGUCUGACCGAGCAACGCCGCGUGAGUGAAGAAGGUUUUCGGAUCGUAAAACUCUGUUGGUAGAGAAGAACGUUGGUGAGAGUGGAAAGCUCAUCAAGUGACGGUAACUACCCAGAAAGGGACGGCUAACUACGUG